AAAGGUAAAAUUGAGUUAUUACUUUGUAAAAUAAUACCUAAGUUGAAGCUAAAAUAACUUAAAUAUAAACUAGGAUUAGAUACCCUAUUAUUCUAAGAUUAAAGGAUUAUGCUAUUGAUCAGUAGUAGUUAUAUACUUAAAAAUUAAAAGAUUUGGCGGUAAUUUAAUCUUUUCAGAGGAACUUGUUUUUUAAUCGAUAAUCCACGAAUAAUCUUACUCGAGUUUGUAUACCAUCAUUAUCAGGUAAUUUUUAGAGAAAUUUACUUAAUAGAGUAAGUUAAAAAAAUUAGAUCAAGGUGCAGCUAAUAAGCGAGGUAAAAUGAGUUACAAUAAAUUAUUUUAUAUGAAGUAUUAAAUAUGAAGGAGGAUUUGAUUGUAUAGGAAUUUAAUAAGUUAUUAUGAUAUUAGCUCUAAGUUAUGUACAUAUCGCCCGUCGCUUUC
rnacentral:rRNA from 1 species